rnacentral:rRNA from 1 species
UGGGGAAUCUUGCGCAAUGGGCGAAAGCCUGACGCAGCAACGCCGCGUGAGCGAAGAAGGCCUUCGGGUUGUAAAGCUCUGUCAGGAGGAAAGAAGGCACCUGGGUUAAUAGCCCAAGGGCUGACGGUACCUCCAAAGGAAGCCACGGCUAACUACGUGCCAGCAGCCGCGGUACUACGUAGGUGGCAAGCGUUGUCCGGAAUCAUUGGGCGUAAAGAGUGCGUAGGUGGCUUGGCAGGUCUGGUAGGAAAUUUCGGGGCUCAACCCGGAACGUGCAUCGGAAACCGGCUUGCUAGAGUCUGGGAGAGGAGAGUGGAAUUCCUGGUGUAGCGGUGAAAUGCGUAGAUAUCAGGAGGAACACCGGUAGCGAAGGCGGCUCUCUGGAACAGUACUGACGCUGAGGCGCGAAAGCUAGGGGAGCGAACA